rfam:Triticum urartu cultivar G1812 contig1298443, whole genome shotgun sequence.
UUUGUACUCCCUCCGUCCCAAAAUUCGUGUCUUAAAUUUGUCUAAAUACGGAUGUAUCUAGUUACAUUUUAGUGUUAGAUACGUCCGUAUCUAAACAAAUGUAAGACAAAAAAAUUGGGACGGAGGGAAUACUAC